rnacentral:rRNA from 1 species
AAUAGAUACCCUGGUAGUCCACGCCGUAAACGAUGAGUGCUAAGUGUUAGAGGGUUUCCGCCCUUUAGUGCUGCAGCAAACGCAUUAAGCACUCCGCCUGGGGAGUACGGCCGCAAGGCUGAAACUCAAAGGAAUUGACGGGGGCCCGCACAAGCGGUGGAGCAUGUGGUUUAAUUCGAAGCAACGCGAGGAACCUUACCAGGUCUUGACAUCCUCUGACACUCCUAGAGAUAGGACGUUCCCCUUCGGGGGACAGAGUGACAGGUGGUGCAUGGUUGUCGUCAGCUCGUGUCGUGAGAUGUUGGGUUAAGUCCCGCAACGAGCGCAACCCUUGAUCUUAGUUGCCAGCAUUCAGUUGGGCACUCUAAGGUGACUGCCGGUGACAAACCGGAGGAAGGUGGGGAUGACGUCAAAUCAUCAUGCCCCUUAUGACCUGGGCUACACGCGUGCUACAAUGGAUGGUACAAAGGGCAGCAAAACCGCGAGGUCGAGCAAAUCCCAUAAAACCAUUCUCAGUUCGGAUUGU